UUAAAAGCCUCGUAGUUGGAUAUGUGUUGAGAACUGCCGGUCUACCCCAGUGGUCAGCACACGGUUUGUUCUCGGCACUUUCCUGGGGAGAGUGUUUGCACUUCACUGUGUGGCACAUGAUCCAGAACUUUUACUUUGAGGAAAUGAGAGUGUUUCAAGCGGGCGCCUGUCGUGAAUACGUUAGCAUGGAAUAAUAGCAUGGGACCGCGGUCUGAAGCUGUUGGUUUUUGGGCCGUGGUAAUGAAAAUAGGGAUAGUUGGGGGUAUUCGUAUUUAACUGUCAGAGGUGAAUUUCUUGGAUUUUUUAAAGACGGACUACUGCGAAAGCAUCUGCCCAGGAUGUCUUUAUUGAUCAAGAACGAAAGUUAGGGGAUCGAAGACGAUCAGAUACCGUCCUAGUCUUAACCUUAAACCAUGCCGACUAGAGAUUUGGGUCGUCAGAAUCGUGACGCCCUGAGCACCUUAGGGGAAACCAAAGUCUUCGGGUUCCGGGGGGAGUAUGGUCGCAAGGCUGAAACUUAAAGGAAUUGACGGAAGGGCACCACCAGGAGUGGAGCCUGCGGCUUAAUUUGACU
rnacentral:rRNA from 1 species